rnacentral:rRNA from 1 species
GCCUUGCCAGCCCGCUCAGUCAGUAGUUUGAUCCGUGGCUCAGGACGAACGCUGGCGGCGUGCUUAACACAUGCAAGUCGAGCGGAAAGGCCCCUUCGGGGGUACUCGAGCGGCGAACGGGUGAGUAACACGUGAGCAACCUGCCCCUGACUCUGGGAUAAGCCCGGGAAACUGGGUCUAAUACCGGAUAUGACCACUCUACGCAUGUGGUGGUGGUGGUAAAGUUUUCGGUUGGGGUUGGGCUCGCGGCCUAUCAGCUUGUUGGUGGGUGAUGGCCUACCAAGGCGACGACGGGUAACCGGCCUGAGAGGGCGACCGGUCACACUGGGACUGAGACACGGCCCAG